CGAAAGCGCCCCCAACGUGACCUAUGUCACCAAGACGCUUCUACAAAACGCGCUAUCCAGGCACCGGAGGAUCAUUUGCUCAGCGGUGGUGGCGAGGGAAACAGUCGGCUCGUGACUAACUGCUAUCGUCUGACUUUGCAGUUACUGCCCAAAUGUGGUUACCGAUCGGCGCCUGCUGCCCCUUUCAUUUCUUCAACGCCAUAUCAAGAAUCCGGAAGCCGUAUCAAGAAUCGAAAGCGCCCCCAACGUGACCUAUGUCACCAAGACGCUUCUACAAAACGCGCUAUCCAGGCACCGGAGGACCAUUUGCUCAGCGGUGGUGGCGACGGAAACAGUCGGCUCAUGACUAACUCCUAUCGUCUGACUUUGCAGAGAAAAGAAGAGGGCGCCGACCUGGCAUCAACUCGCUGCGGCUUGCUCUGGUUUAAUCAAAGCUUCUUUGGACAUCAAGACACCACGGCUCCGGUGGUUGAGCCACGCGCAGCUGGUGCUGUUAACCAUGCGUGGCACACCACACUCAGUUACUCUAAAUACGUGCAGCAAUGUAUACAUACGGCGGAGCUAAUGACAGCUAACCAAAAGCUGAACGCGAGAAGCUGCUGCCGCUACACUGAAGGUCUUAAUUGACAAUGCUAAAAACCAAGCAACAAUCAAAUCCCAUAUGUACACUUCAUGCUAGUAAAAACUAGCCUUCACUGGCCCGAA
rnacentral:lncRNA from 1 species